rnacentral:lncRNA from 1 species
AGACACUCAAAUAUUUCCUCUGGCCUUGCGAUAAGCUAGCCGUUCAGAGGUAUGUAGAAGGUGUCCAGGAUCUUAUAGGUUAAAUGGACAUAAAGUUUGAUUGCAUUGUGGUGUUUUGGGAGUAUGAUAACUUACAGAGCAUGUGUGAGCAGGAUGAACUUGGGCACAGAGGCAGCACUGACAAAGUCUGCUUGAGCAUACAAAUGUAGGUAAUAAAAAAAGGGCACUAGAGCUGUGUUUGGAAUGUGAUUAGGAGUUUGCUAGGCAGAUAGAAUCAGCAGGAAAACUCUAGGCUGAUGGGAGUACAUGUACAAAGGAAUAGAAGGAAGAAAUUUGACUUAUUUGGGUAAUUGGAGAUGGCUGGCUGAGGGUUUGAGGCGAGGGGUGAAUGAGUUGAGGUUAGAAAGAUGGUAGUGAGAUCACAGAAGCCCUGUCUGUAGUGUUGGGUUUACAUUUUGCCUCAUAGGUAACAGGGAUUGUUUGAAAGAUUUUAAUCAGAAGAGUAAUUGAUCAGACUUUCAUUUUACACAGUUACUCUGGGGUCAGUGUAUAGAAUGGCUUGGAGAGAGAAGCUGGCAGUUUGGUGAGGAAUCCAAGUCAGAGUUAAUCAAUUAAGACCUGUUUUUAGGCAGUGGCAGUAGAGGAGGAUCUGACUUGAAAGCUAAAAUUAGUAGGAUUUUAAUGUGACCUCUUAAGAUGUGGUGGCUAUUGCCCUUUUCCUAAAUUGAGAAAGUACAGAUUAGCUAGAGAAAAGAUGGAUUUGAAUCACUUAUGUACUUAGUUAAUAGAAAUAUGACUAAAAGGAGCAGUUAGAAUUUGGGACUGAUGUACCUUUUUAAUAGAUGAAGGGGAGGCAGAGAAAGGGCAUUUUUGGGAAAAUAGAUAACUUUCUAGAAAGGUAAAGGGCCCUUAGGAGAAUAAUUCUGUGACAUUGUUUGGAUGUGGUCUGUUUAGGUGUCUUCUAAGAAGAUUAGAGUUGUUCCUGGGGAGGGGAUUAAUGGCAAUUGAGUUCUUUCCAUUUCUUUUGGGAGAUUCUCCUUUUAGGCUGAUAGGGAUUUUAGGAAUGCAAAUGCCUUUAGCUUGAAAUAAUUUUUAUACCACAGUAGUUGCUUCUUGAUCCUUUCUUGGUGAAGGAGAGGAGAAAUUACUGUGAUUCUGACUUGAGUGAUAGUGGUGCUAUUGAUAGUGAAGUACGCAAAGAAGAGCAUGUUUCAGAAGUGUAAAAAUUUUAUUUGUAUAAUCGAACUUGGAGCACCUGUGGAACAUACAGGUAGAGAUACUAGGAAGUAAUUAGAUAUAGAUCUGGGAGCUCAAGAGAGAGCUCAAAGAAGCCGAGGGUAUGGAUGAAGUAUACCUAGGAGAGUAGGAAGAGUGGGAAAAGAAAAAGGUUCUAGAGAUGAACCAGAGGGGGUUGGAAAAUGAGGGAGAUGGGGAAAAAUAAAAAAGAAAUUGAGCUUAUAAAGGAGACUGUAGGGAGAAAUAGCUGAGGACAAAGAGAACUGGGAGAGUUAUAGAAACCAAGGAGGGCGGGGGGGACAGGGUAGCAGGGAGAAUAAGCAGUAGGGAUCUACAAGGUCAGGUGCAGAGUAGAAUUAUAUAUGUUCAGAAAAUAUUUUUUGAUUCAGUGUAUAAUAAUGGUACAGUUUUGAGGAGGAAAUGGAGGAUUGUUUAUUUAAAAGAAUUUGGAACAGUUGGCUUACCAUUUUCCUUAUGACAAAAUACAUCUAAAAAUUAAACGUAAAAAAUUGGAAGUGAUAAAAAACUAGAAGAAAAUAUGGGCCAGUAUGUAGGUGUCAGACUAGAAUUCUGUACCCAGCAAAAAUAUUCUUUACCAGUGAGAACAAAAUUAUUACUUGUUUUGAUCAACAAAAUUUAUUAACUGAUAGAAUAACAAAGAAUCAGAGGGGUUAGAAAAUCUUAGUAACAUAAUUAGUAAACGUGACCUAAUUGAGAUGUCAUUUAGUAGUAGACUAGACAAAAUGGAAGAGAGAGUAUUUUGAAAAAAAGAAAUAUUCAAAACAAAAUAUGGGAUAUAACAAAACAUGAAAUAAAUACUUUGUGCCUAAUACAAUAGACUAUUCAUUCUUCUCAUAUGCACAGAGAACAUUUACCAAAAUUGCUGAUCCAUAAAGCAAGUUUUAACAAAUUUCAAGACUAAAAUUAGACUGUCAAACUUAGUAUAACGAUAGGUUUGAUAUUUGGAAAAUUGAUCAGUAUAAAACUUGCAGAAAAUAACGUGAUGAUGUCAAUAGAUGCAAUAUUGCCACUGGUAAAAUUCAACACUCAUUAAACAUGAAAUAGCAUAUUAUUAUUAAAAGGUAACUUCCUUAAUCUGGUGAAGGUUAGACUCAGAAAAAAGGUUAGAUCUCUGGCAUGCAUCAUGUUUAAUGGUGAAAAUGUUGAAUGUUUUCCUUUAGAGGCUGGGGAAAAAAUAAGUUAUUUUUAAUAUCACCAUUCCUGUUUAUUAAAGGACAUUCUACCUAAUUAAAUUAUAAGACAAGAAAAAUGGAGUAUGGAAGUCAAAAUAGAAUAAAUCUGAUUUUAUAGAUGACACAAUAGUGUAUGCACAAAGACUAAAAAUAUAUUCUUACAACUUAUUUUAAAUACUCACCAGACUGCAAAACUCAAAGUAACUUCAGACCCAUUUUUAUAUGCCAGUGACAAAUAGGAAAUGUAAUAAAAUAUAUCAGUUGUAAUAACAUAAAAAUCCAUAUUUUUCAGAAAAAGUUUAUGUCUAAAGCAAUAAACAUUAUUGAGAAAUGUUAAAGAACUACAGAAGGGGAUAUACCAUAUUCAUGGAUUAGAAGACCCUAUUGUAAAAUGUUGAUAUGCCUAAAAUUCAUCUAUGUACUCAGUAUAUCAAUCAAAAUGCCAGCAGAUUGUGUGUGUGUGUGUGUGUGGGGGGUGUGUAUGUGUGUGUGUGUGGAAAUUAACAAAUGGAUACUAAAAUGUACACGAAAAUGUAAGCAUCCAGGAAUGGCUGAAAAAAUUUUUGAAGGACAACAAAGUGAGCAGAUUUAUGUUUCAGGGUAGCAAGACUUAUUAUACAGCUAUAGUAAUACCAUACUCUUGUAUGGUUCUAGUAAAAGACUAGACAGACACACCAAUUGAACACAGUAGUCCAAAAAGAGACCUACAUUUGUAGGGCACUUGAUGUGUAUUACUUAAGAGGCCCUGCAGUGUAGUCCACAAAGGAUAGUCUCUGCAGUAAACGGUUUGUGGGGGCUGGGGACACAGCUCAGUGGUAGAACAGUUGCCUAGUAUGUGCAAAGCCCUGGGUUUGAUCCUCAUCACCAUCCAUCAAUCAAUAAAUAAAAUUAAAUAGAAAAAGAAAAAACGUAUUUGGUUAAUUACAUACAUAUGGGACAAACAAAAAUGUCACAAUGAUACUUUUUUUUUGUGAUGCUGGGGACUGAACCUAGGGCCUUCCUCAUACUAGGCAAGCAUACUACCAUUGCAUUGAGCCACAUCCCCAGCCUAAAUAAAACAAAAAUAUGAGACACCUACCUAUGCCUGACAGAUUUUUUUCCCCAAAUUCAUAUCAGUCUGGAUCCAGUUAGGAGGAAGAAACCAGUAAAUUGAAAGAAAAGUUUAAUAUGAAGAUACUAGUUAGAACAGGGAAUUUAAGUUAUAAGGGAUUGGCUAAUAAAAGGCAACAAGAACUCUAUAGAAAGCAAGGAUAGCAGAUACAUGGAGCAGCUGCUGCCUCUAGUGCUGAGAUAGAGGGCCCCCUUCCCUCAGGACUGAGACAAGACUAUACCCAGAAGACAUGGUUCUGGUUUAUUGUGUGGCAGACAAGUCCCUGGAGUGUCACACUGGUGGUGCUUGAUGGGAAUCUACUUCCGGAUUUGGCAGAAGCCACUCUGCUGGGCUCCAGAGAAAAAUGCUUCAUGGGGAGGUAUCCACUGUGGUACCUUGCUAAAACCACCCAGGUAGGAUGUUGGGGAGCUGCUGGGCAUUUCUGGCUGCAGUGUGCUACGGUCUCCAGAGGCCAGAACCACUGUGCAUACUACAGAAGCUGGAUGGUGGAGUAGUCACUCGGGGUGCAAGAGCUGGUUGCUGUUGAUCACUUACUGCAGAAAAACCUGGAAGGCUGUACAUAUCAAGAUGCCAAGAUGGUGCACACGUUUGUUUCUUUUUCUUAUUGGCAAAUAGGGUUAUGAUGAUUUCUCCUCCCUUCCAUAUUAAAUUCAGCAUUUAUUCAAUAAAAGUCAUUGCGUGUUUCUUCUGAGCUAUACUGGAUGCAUGGGAAUGGACAAAAUAGACAUUGCACUUACCUUUGCAGAGUUUGUGGUGUGGUCGAAUAGCUAUUCAGUUGAGCUUCUUCUUUGUGCUAGGUAUUGUUCUGGUCCUUGGGGAUGUAUAUCUUGGUGAUCAAGACACUCUUGCCUUCAAAAGGAAAUAGCUAUCGAGCAGAUAAUCAUAUGAAUAGCUGCAUCUUAGGGAAUCAUCUAAAGGGACAGAAAGGGAAAAUUCUGAAUUGUCAGUUCAGAGGUGAGAGAUCAGGAUGGGGCUGGAAGACCUUGCAGUGGGAAAGAGCUUGGCUCAUUUGAAGAAGUGAGACUCAGGGAAAUUUGAAAGUAGGGUGAUGAAGACAGUGUCAGGAGAAAAGGCCCCAGUAGGGGCCAACUUGCUCUCAGCCUUAGGCCACCUUGGGAACCAGGGUAGGCCAAUGAAGGUACCCCCUGUAGAGUUCUACAGUCAGAGCCCAAUGGAUUCUUUUUAGGUGUUUUUAUUACCAUCUUAUGGUGUGCUGAGUGGUCAGUUGAUUGGAGGCAAGACUGGCGAUCUUGAGACCUUGCACACAUUUGCAGGAAUCCAAGGAUGCUCAAUGAUGGAGCUUGACAUACAUGGAUUACUUGGGGAUGGGGUUUGGAAAUAGAAUCAGACUUGGGGAUGGAUUGAAUGUGGGCUAGGAGGGAGAUGGAACUGUUGAGAAUGACUUCCAGGUUUCUGGAAUGUGAAGCCAUUUUUCUCUGUACUUUUGAAACGAGUAUAACUUACUUGUUGAGUUUAAAAAGUUAAAGAAACUUGAAUUUGGAGAUGAGGAAGGCUUUGGUAACUAAACAAAAAUACAGUUACAGAGGGAGAUAGAAAGUGAAGAAAAGGUGAUGUUAUAGAUCUGCAAGUUCUUAGAGAAGCUGUAAGGUAGAAGGCUAAUGUAAGGCUGUGGGACAGAGGGUGUCAGGUUUUGUUUUAUAGAUGGGGCAGAUGUGAGCAACUUCUUUUGGGAUGGAGAAACCAUAGAGAGAAGAGAAUUAUCUGCGUUUCUUAACAGAUAAUUGAAUGUCUGUAUGCGAGGCAAUAUUCUAAGUCCUUGCAGUAUAAACCACAACACAUAGCCCCCUUUUCUGGGAGCCUAACUUGCAAAGUGGGAAGAUGACAAUAAAUAAAUAAUCUGCCAAAUGCAUUAUAAACAGAAAAAGAAAUAAAGCCUGUUAAUGGGGAGGUACAGGAGUGCUGAGGUGGGUGGACAGUGGGAUGUGAUUAUAUGCGGUGGGUGGCAUUUAUGGACUUGAUGCCACUAGAAUGUAAGAUACAACAGGGAAGGGAUUUUUGUUUUACUCACUGUUAUCUCCAGAAUUUAGAAUGGUGCCUGACACAUAGUGCUCAAUAAAUAAUUGUUGUGUAAAUCAAUUGAUUAUAUACUAUCAAGGAUGGGAUGAAAUGAGUUGUGGAAUACAGUUGUGAAUGAAGAUGUAGGGAUAUAAGUACCCAUAUUCCCAAUUCAAAUUAUAAUUAUCUUUGCUAUAAUUAUCUUUGGAUUCAGCUAUUCAGUUGUAUUUUGGAUCCUUUGGUUAUCUUUGUUUCAUGGCUUUAGUUUGGCUUGCUGUAUGUUUCUUAGGUAUAUUAAUAUAAUUUACAAACCUUACUUAUCCUUAGGCACAUUACUGAAAUGAGAAGUGACUGUUCUCAGUAAUUUAAAAAUAAAAUUUGCACUAUUAUAUUGGUUUAUAUAUUGAAGAUGUUUAAUAACCUUUCUUGCUUUCAGCAUUAUGCUGCUUUAAAGCGGUGUGUGUAUGUAUUGUGGUUGUUUUAUGCCAACUAAAGAAACCAGUUUAGCUGGGUUUAAACUGCAGUGGUUGUAUGUUAAACCAAGUCACACUCUCCUUGCUGUUCCUGUUUUGAUCAGUCAGUUUGGCUGAUCCCAUAGCGAGUCUUUUCAUCGAGUUUGCAAAGUUCAGCCUUAUGACAGUGUUCUAGUUUGUUUGAAAUCCUAUAGCAGGCCAGUCCUCUCUGCUUUAGGCAUGCAUGAAGAAGACUGUCUUCUGUGUGCCAAGUCUCAGCUCUGUGUUGGGGAUUCCAGUGCCAUACAUGACUUUGUUCUAGCUCAGGAAGCGCUGGCUUCUGGCAGCAGGGCUUGCCUUUGUCAAAAAGAAUUGACACAGGUGUUUUAAGACCAGUCAAAGCUGGAAGUUCCCUUAUGUUUCAAAGAUUUCACAUAUUAAUGAGGAAAAGGGAGCAUACAAAACAACUAUAUCCUUUUUGCCAUAGGUUGUCCUUUCUUAGAGAAAUCACUUUAUCUCUCUUGUAAAAGUGUAUAAAAUAUACUUAAUUAUAAAAGUAAUAAAUGGUCAUAGAAAAGAUUCUAACAACAUAGGAGUGUGGAGGUUAAAAAAUGGAAAAUUUUCUCUAAAAUCGUACAUUGUAGAAGAUAACAUUGUCAUCAAUUUGAUUUAUAUUUGUAUUAGUCAGUCUUUUUGUUACCAUACAGAAUACCCAAGUCUAGGAACUUUAUAAAGUGAAGAGGUGUAUUUAGCUCACAGUUUAGAAGGCUGAAAGUCUCAAGAUUGAAUGGCUCCAUUGGUUCAGCCUCUGGUGAGGGACUAAUGGCUGAUGGCUGGAGUGCAUAUGAGUGGGAGAGAUCACAUUGCCUAAUAGGAAGGCAAGGUGUGUGGACUGGACCCAGGCCCUUAGAAUAGCCCCCUUGUGACAACCAACCAGGGUCUCAUGAGAAGUACCUUAACCCCUUCUGAGGGCAUGCCCCAGUUGAUCUAAGAAGCUUCUACUGGGCCCUACCCUGUUGAAGGUUCCACAUCCCCUUCCAGUACCUCCAUCCCUGGGACUAAAGCCUCUUACACGUAUAGACUUUUGGGGCCACACUCAAACAUAUCCUUAUCCGUAUGGUAAUAUCCUUAUUUGGAUUUUAAAGAUGCAUAUGUACAUCAUGUAUGUGUGAGUAAUAUAUAUCUGCAUGUAAGUAUGUGUGAAUGCAAGUACACACACAUAGAAGAGGAAUCAUAUACACGACUUAACUGUUUUCUUCUCCUAACAAUUUAUUAUGGGCAUUUUACAUUUCAGUGAGUGUGUUUGUGUGUGUGUGUGUCUGUGUGUACGCUUGUGUGUGUGCAUGAUUGCAUAACACAGUGUUCCAUAAAGAAUUAAGUCAUCCCAUAUUUUGUUUUUAUAAGUAGUGAUGCACUUAACCUUCUGUUAACUGUUUUCGUGAGGGGGGGUGUGGGGGGCUAAUUGGGAUUGGACCUAGGGGCACUGUACCACUGAUCUACACCUCCAGCCUUUUUAAAUUUUAUUUUCAGGUAGCGUUUUACUAAGUUACUGAGUCUGUCCUUGAACUUUCCAUCCUCCUGCCUCAGUCUCCUCUGAGUAGCUGGGAUUAGAGGUGUGCACCACCUUGCCCAGCAUGUUCACAUAUUUUUGCACACUUCACUGUUAUUUUCUCAGAAGACAGAAGGGCUUGUCAAAGUGUAAACAUUUGCCAUGUAACCUUGUGAAAAGAUACCAACUUGUAUUCUCAGUUACCAAAUACGAGCGUCCCAUUUCCCCAGACCCUCACCAACACCAGGUGUUACUACCACUCUUAAAUCUUUCUCAGUCUAACAGGUGAAAACUUAUGUCUCUUUUUGAUUUGCAUUUCUUUGUAUAUUUCUGUGAUCUAGCAUGUUCUGACCAUUUGUAUUACUUUGUAUCUUUAUUCUUUUUAGUUAUAGACAGUAGAAUAUAUUUUGACAUGGAGUAUAACUUCCCAUUCUUGUGGUUGUACAUGAUGUAGAGUUACAGUGGUCAGAUAUUCAUAUUUGUGUUAAUUUUUUUGAUAUCUUUUUUGAACUGUCUUUAGUCCUUUGUUCUUUUUUUUCUUGGUAGAUUCUUUUCCCUUUUUCUGAUUUCCGAAUGUUUUUUUAAAAAAAAUAUAUGUAUAAUUUUUCUCCUGUUAGUCAUCUGUAUUUGUCUUAAUUUAUUAUUAUUUUUUAACUUGAUAUAUCCUCAUGCCAGUUCGGUGACUCAUGCACUCAACUUUGAAUCUUCUAGCAUUGGUAGCAAACUUAGGAAAGUCUUCCCCAUACCACUAACUAGAUGUUCUGUUUGCUUAUUUGUUUAGAAUUUUAUCCUCAAGAUGUUUAACAGCUAAAUAAUUUUUCAGAUAUAUGGGCAGGGUGAAGUAGAGCUCUGGGUUUUCUCCAGAACACACACUUAUUGUUGAAUUGUUGAUGUUUUAUUGCUGACUUAAAAUGCCAUCUUUAGGGCUGGGGUUGUAUGGCUUAGUGGUAGAGUAGUUGCUUAGCAUGUGUGAAAAUCUGGGUUCGAUUCUCUGCUCUGCAUAUAAAUAAAUGAAUAAAAUUUUAAAAAUUAUAGCAUCUAAAAAUAUUUUUUAAAAAAUUCCACCUUUAUCAUGCUCAGUUUUUACAGUUACAUGGUUCUUGAUAGCAGGACUCUGCUCAGCAAUCCAUUUGUUCUGUGCCUCUAUCAGUAGUACAUAUUUUUCCUUUCCUUACAUAUUAAUUUACUUAUUCCCACAUAUUGUAAAGAGAACAUUACUGCUUCUCUUCCCAUCUUAAAUAUCUUCUCAGAAAACAGGAGUGUGACUUUACAGUACACAUUCAUUUGUGUGAAUUGUCUCUGUACUAAUUUCAAUAAGUUGAGGUCAUACAAUCUUUCAGAAGUUGUGGGUUGAAGGGCUGGGGUUGUGGCUGAGCCUAGAGCGCUCACCUUGCAGGUGCGAGGCCCUGGGUUCAGUCCUCAACACCACAUUAAAUAAAUAACUAAAUAAAAUAAAGGUAUUAAAAAAUUAAAAAAAGUUGUGGGUUGAUAAAAAUGUAAAUAGAGCAACUGUCUUUGCUGUGGAAGAUGGAAUUUAAAUAAUCCUUACCUGUAUUUCUCUAGCCAUCACUUCCUAGCCUUUCUCAUAUCUUAGAAUACAUCAAGAAUAAAUAUAUUUUCAGGGCCACUGGGUAGAUGGAGGAGUGCUCUGGGUGUGGUCUGGAUGGCCUGUCCCCUCACAGGGGACCAGGGAUCAACACCUGCAACCCAUUCUUUAUGUGCUGCAGGUGAUUAGGAAGUAUUCAGGAAGUGCUGCUCUAGGCUGAUGUACUCCCACUUCAAAAUUUUUGUAGGUCUUGACAGUUUGAUAAUGAUUUAAUAUUUGGAGAGCCAGAUUUCUCUAAAAAUGUUUUUAUUGGGGGUUGGGGUUAUAGCUCAGUGGUAGAGCACUUGCCUCGCACAUGUGAGGCACUAGGUUCAAUAUUCAGCACCACAUAAAAACAAACAAACAAAGAUAUUGUGUCCAUUUAAACAUUUAAUAAAUGUUUUUAUUGUGGUGAGGUAUAUGCAAUAGAAAAUUGACGCUCUCAGUGAUUUUUUACUUGUACAGUUUAACAGUGUUUUUAAACACAUUUACAUUAUUUUGUGACCAUCACCACUGUUCAGCUGAGAAUGUUAUCUUCCCAAGCUACAGCUUUGUCCUUAUCAAACGCUAAUUCCCCACACCACUCUCUUAGCAAUUACUGUCUACUGUCCAUGUACAAAUCUGACUACUCCAGGGUCCUCAGAACGUGGAGUCACACAGCAUUCAUUCAUUCAUUUGACUGGCCUCUUUUAUCAUGGUGUCUUUAAGGUUCAUCCAUGUUGUAGCAUGUGACAGAACUUCCUUUCUUUUAAAGGCUGAAUAAUAUUCCAUUAUGUAUAGACCAUUAUGUUUAUGCAUUCAUCCAAUAAUGAACACUUGAGUUGCUUCUACCUUUGGAUAUUUUUUUUUUUUAAAUAUUUAUUUAUUUAUUUUUGUUUUCGGCGGACACAACAUCUUUGUUUGUAUGUGGUGCUGAGGAUCGAACCCGGGCCGCACACAUGCCAGGCGAGCGCACUACCUCUUGAGCCACAUCCCCAGCCCACCUUUGGAUAUUUUGAAUAACGCUACUGUGAACAUGGUUGGGCAAAUAUGAGAGCCAGACUUUGUGCAGAGCCAGACUUUCCUCAGGGCUUGAUCCUAGACUUUUCUUUCUGUGACCAUUAAAUGUGGAUAUUUCUCAGGAAUUAGACCAAGGCCCUUCUCCUCUUCCCCCUUGGUUUUCUAAAAGUGAAGCAAAGAGAUUUUGUCAGUCUCAUCUUGUACAUGAACAAUAUGACCUUAUUUUUUUUUUUAAAGAGGACAAAGCAACAAGACCAAUGAAUUACACUAUUUUUAAAGGGUUUAACCCCCCCCCCAGCUUUAUGAGAUAUAAUUGGCAAAUAAAAAUUAUGUACAUUCAAGGUUCACAGUGUAAUGGUUUGAUUUAUAUAUAUAUAUGUGUGUGUGUAUUGCAUAAUGAUGAACCAUUAACACAUGCUUCACCACUCAUGUGGCAUGUGUGGGAGGAGGCAAGACCCUUGAAACCUGCUGCUUAGCACAUUUCAAGUAAGUAGAGCAGCAUUAUUAACCAUAGUCACCAUGCUGUGUGUUGGGGCCCAGAACUUACUCAUCUUACAACUGAAAGUACAUCCCCUUUGACCAGCAUUUCCCAUUUCCUCCAGCCCCAUCCCCUGUCGACUCCCGUUCUGCUCUCUGUCUUAGGAGAGUACUUCAGCCUCCCAAGUGCUCAAGUCAUAUCCUGAGAAUCACUUUUAAAACAAACCUUCUAAUUUGGGGUACUUUUAGAGUCACUGCAAAGUUGCAAAAAUUUUGUGGACCCUAGUUGCUCUGUUAAAAUUGCUAUGGCUUGUUUGUCACCACCAGUGAACCAAUGUGGAUAUAUUAUUAUAAACUGAACUCCAGAGGAAAUUCAAAUUUCCUUUGUUUUUCCCUAAUGUCCUUUUCUUUUCCAGGAUCCCACCCAGGAUGCCAUAUUAUAUCUAGUUUUCAUAUGUUUUUAAGUUCCAUUAUACUGUCAGUUUCUCAGACUUUCCUUUUUAUUAUUGACCUUGACAGGAGAGGUAUUUUAUACGAUGUUCUUCAAUUUGGGUUUGUCUGCUCUUUCUGUCAUCAUUAGACUCGGAUUAUGGGUUUUUGGAAGGAAGACCACAUCACAUCAAGGGUUCCUGUUCUCAGUGUGACUUACUACUGGUGAUGUAAACUUUGGUCACUUGGCUGAGGUACUAUUUAUCAGGUUUCUUCACUGUAAAGUUACCAUUUUUCUCCCCAAAAGAGGUCAUUUUAGAAACUUUCCCUGUUUUAAUCUGUACUGAAUCUAAACCACUUUACACUGUAUCUUUUUCCCAAGUAAGUUUCCAUUCUGUUCACAUCACUCUGUUUAAGCGCCACUCCUGUCUAGGCAGCAGUGGCCUGUGCCCUGGCUGCUUCGAGAGUGCCCCUGGCCAUGUGUCUCCUCUACUCUGGCCUCCUCCCACUUUGGUCUGUACCCAGAAUGGUCUUUCAGAAAUGCUCUUUUCUCAAACUUGUGAAUAACUCCUAUUGUGCUUCAGAUGCCAUUCCUGCUCCUCAACAGUCAGGGCCUGUGUGACGUAGUCUGUCUCCUCUCUAGCUUCUGGCAAAGUACCUCUCACUUUGUUUACUGUCCCAGACGCUGGUUUCCCACCCUGAAUUACUUCAGCACUCUCUGCAACACAGUGUGGUCCUUCCUGCUUAGAUUGAUGGGCACCCACCACCUGUGUUCCUCUAGUCUCAGCCUGACUGCUACUUACUCUUUCUCCAUAAGCCAGCCCUAGGGUGGAGUUGCCGGCCUGCCUUGCUGUGUGUUUCUGUACUUCUUCCCUGUACCUGUCGUGUUUUGAAUCAACUUCCAUGCUAAGGUAGACCAGUGGAGACUUUCUCUGUUCUUUGCUGUGUAUCCAUCCCUGUUACCCGAUAACUGAGCUUGCUGUGGAGUAGGUGCUUAAUAAAUAUUUUUAAAUGGGUUAAUUUUGUCUUUUGAAUGGAAUACAAAUACUCUUUGAUAUUAGCAUGCAAGUAUGCAGACAAGUUCUCAAAUAGAUGUCUCUUAGUCAAUUGAUUUAAUACCCUGGGUGUUCUUUUAAAUGCCUUGUGCAGGGUGCAUCGAUAGGUACAGUAAGGAAUGGAGUGGUGUGUGUUCAGCCUGUGCUACUCUUAAGUAACCGUCUGUUUAUUCGGUCAUUCUCUACUUCAGCACUCACGAAUCAGACUCUAUAGUACCCUUUGCAGAUUGUGGGACCUGAGUGUGUGAGCCUUUGGGGCCUGGGGGAGAACCUGCAGGCCAACCCCUCACUGUUCCAUUAGUGGAAUAAGACCAAUCUGAACAGAUCCAGUUUGAAUUCAGCUCUGUCAGUUUUAAGACUUACAGUACAGUCUUGAGCUUGUCUGCAAAAAAAAAAAAGAGACAGGAAUAUCUUCCUUGUAACCUGUGGAAGGACUCAGAUAAGAAAAGGAAUGUUUGAUGAUCAGCAUCACAGAGCUAAUGUCCUUGCUUUUAGCUAAGCACCCUGCCAAACAGUCCAUAUUAAUACUUUUUGUUAAAUCUCACAGCAGCCCUAUAGAUAGGGAUGUUAUUAUUUUCAUGUUCUAAAUGAAGAAAAAGACUUAUUUGGAAAACCCAAUAAUUUGUCCAAGAUCAUGAAAGGAAUAAAAGGUAGAGCUAUUGCUGUGUAUGAUUUUUAAAGCCCAGAAUGGACUCCUUAUAUCCUCCAGCCAUGCCAUCUUUAAGUGUAGCUUUGCUAGUUGGGGUUUUGAAGACUUUUCAGUCUUCUAUUGGCAUUUGAAGUCUUUAAGUCUUAGGAGGGAGAACCUUGUUACAGCUUGAAUUUUAAUUCACAUUGUAGCAACUUUGAUAUCUGUAACUGGUUGCCUGACAUUGUAUGUUUGUGGGUCCUGGAGGACUGGGUUGGACCUACCUCGGCAGUAUUUCUAAAAUGAGGGUUGUGACUCCUGGUCAGAUUUACCUGGGGGGAUUUACAGAAAUGUAAUUUCCUUGGGUGCUUCUUUGAUGUCCUAAAUUGUAAUCUCCUCCUGGGAGGAUAUGGGAAACUACAAGUGACACUAUCUAGAUAGGCGAUUCUUAUUUAGUCUGAAGCAUGAGAAUCAGUGACUAGAAGAAAUGAGAAAUGUCAGAGGAUUCUUUCAUUGUCUCAAGUUACAGGAAGACAAGAAGCAGCUCAGGUGCAGUAGCUCCAUGGGUUUCCCUGUGCAUCUCUUGGCAUUCUCUGCAUGGGCAGCCACAGCAUAGUGAUGCGGUUCUAACUGUGCAGGGGGAAGGCACAUCCCUGGCAUGAGCUCCUGUCUGCUGUUCUUAUUCUUACACAACUUUAUUGAGGAGCAGUUGGCAUACAAUAAGUUACACAUUCUUUUUUUAAAAUGAAGUUUUUAUUUUUGAUUGACAGAGUAACUGCAGUGUGAUAGGGUAUAGUGUGAUGUUUCAGUUCACAUGUAUGAUGUGUAAUGAUCAGGUCGGGGUUUUUGACAUAUCCAUUAACUCAUUCACUCAUUCAUUCAUUCAUUCAUUCAUUCAUUCAUUCAUUGUGUUUUGUGUUGGGAAUAUCCCAAAUCCUCUUCAUUAGCUAUUUGGAAACGUACAGUUGUCAUAACCGUAGUUAUCCUAUGGUGUUAUAGAACAUUAUAGAAUACUAGAAGUUAUUCCUUUUAUCCACCUGCCUUCUGCACCUGUUAACCAGCCCUCCUCUUCAUAUCCUUCGAAGGCUCUAGUAAUCAGUAUUCUACAUCUGCUUUUUUAUGAUGUCAGCUUUUUAGCUUCUAUAAAAGUGAGAACAUGUUUUAUUUGUCUUUCUAUUAAACUGCACAUUCCUGCGUCUGCCUUAUAAGGUAGACACUGCAUGAGGUCCCCACACCAUGAUGGUGAGCACAUGCAUCAGUCAGAAGUGUCAAUCAGAAGAAAUGGAAGCAUUUCUGUCUUGCAGGCCCUUCUUCCCACUCUCUUUAUUCUUUGUGAAAUCUUUGAAACUGCUAUGGGGAAAAAGUUUCCUUGUUGAGGGUAAAAUGGUAGGUAGGAACGUAUUGUGGUUUCAGUUUUUGUUUUCUUUUUGAGGAAUAUAGUGGAAAUAAUAUGAUGAUUACAGGUGUAGGUUACCAUAUCAUUUAUAGAAAGUUUUGAGAAACCGACAAGUAUUCUAGACCAUUUCUGAAAAGUUUGACAGGAAAUGUACUUUUUGGAGGGUUGAGAAAGUGGCGGAGAUGUGACUGUUGGUGGCAGGGGAGAGGAGUGACUGGUGGGUGCCAUGUGGAUGGGGGUUGCACAUGAGAACCAAAGGCUGGUUUUCUUUGGGUUUUCAUUGUAUGGCAUUUAUUCUACAUGGGAAAAACUAACAUAAAUCACAACAUGAUAUGGAAUAGAAAUAUAAUCCUCACUUAACUGGAGAAUAUAUUUAGCUCAAGUGCAUUUUACAUUUUAUUGAAUGGCAUGAUUUAUUUAUGAUAUUUAUAGAUUAAAAAUAAAAUUUGCCCCAUCACUAUAACUGGCUUUGGGUUGGGUGUUUCUUUAGUUGCUGAAUACUCUUGCUGAAGUUAAGGUGUCUUUUUUUUUUGGGGGGGGGGGGUAAGUACCAGGGAUUGAACCCAGGCGCACUUAACUGAGCCAUAUCUCCAGCCCUUUGUAUAUUUUCUUUAGAGACAUGGUCAUGCUAAGUUGCUGAGGCUGGUUUUGAAUUUGAGCUCCUCCUGCCUCAGCCUCCCGAGCUGCUGGGAUUACAGGUGUGCAUUGCUGUGUCCAGUACCGAAGUUAGUUUCUACUGCAGAAAGCAUUAUAUAAUGUCAUUGAGUUAAUAGCUGUUUUUUUUUUUUUUUAAAGAAUUGGUAAAAUGUGUGGGAUUCAACUGUCACCUAGUUUCUUUUACUCUUUGAAUUUCUUUACUAUAUUUUUAUUUAUUUCCAGUUUUUCCAUGUAUUUAUUUUGAAGGAAUAUGCUUGAGGUAAAAAUGGGAGCAUUUCUGUCAUAAUUUAACCUUCUUAGGAAUAUCAUUUUUGCUCUGUGUCUGAGAGUUGAAACAAUUCUUCGUACUUUAUAGAUGACAUUCCCUCCUCACCUCUACGGCUAAAUCAGUCAGUCAGUCAAUCAAAACCAAAAUGUAAUGGAGAGUACACAUCUCAGUUCCAGGUGGCGCUCAUUGUGGGUGAGAAUUCCCUGGAGAAAGACCCUUUGCUGGAGCACUAGUGACUUGAUGUUCCAUCAGAAGGGGCUCGGUGUGUUUCUUCUUUUAGGCUGGUAGCUCAUGAGUGUGGUGGCACAGAGUCAUUUCCAGGUUUAGACUAGCAUGUAUACUGUGCUUACACCCAUAGGUUUUGGGGAUUAGGUUGGGGCUUUUGAGUCCUUUCUCUCUUUAAUUCAGUUACUAGUUACAGAAAGAGACUAGCUAUAAUUGUAACAAGUCUACCCAAGGUUGACUAUCCUUCUGUACCUCUCCUUAUGAAAAUAUCCUGCAGGUUGACUGUUUGGGGGUUUGCUUUGGAUUAAUGAUCACCUUUCAGUCUGUUAGUAUUAAUUCAGUUCAUUCAGUCAUUAACUGGCCGUGGCCAUAGGAAAUGGGACGCUGCUGGAUAGGGAAGAUGGGUCAUUCUAGUUCAUGAGCCACUGCUGUCUGGGGCCUGGGAAGGAGGCUGGAAGGAGGUUCCACAGAGAGAAUACCUUGAAUCCAAUUUAGGACCAGGGCUAACCUCUUGGGCUGUGUUGGGGGAAGCUACUUAGGUCCAGUCACCUUUAAGAAUUCAGAGCAGAACUGUCAAUUUAACAGUGUCCAGGGCUAAUAGGCAGGUGUCAACCAUAAUAGCUGCUUACUGCAUUGUUCCUGUGGGAAAAAUAUAUGUGAGUUUCCCAUACCUCCUUUGUAAGUGGACUGGCUCUGAGAAUUGGCUCUUCUUGCUAUUGUGGGGGAGGGCAGGAUGUGGCAGUUAGCUACUGGCUGGGGUUGUGUUGCCCCUGAGAGUUUCCAGCCGCUUUUUGCUUGCUUACUUGUAUUGUAGGGUCCUUGUGAGGACCACGGUGAACUGCUUACUGCCCUUACCUUCCCUUACCCAAUCACAAACUCAUUUGGAAAACAUUCCUAAGAUCCUUCAUUGAUGUUUUGUUUUUAAAUCAGCUAAAACAUUUUUAAUUUUGGCACAAUUUCCUUCAAAGGUAGUUUGUCAGAACUGCUAAAUAUUUAGGUGGAAAGAUGGACUCAGUUCCAUGGAAUCAUUUGUGGGAAUUCUGUUGGUUGUAAUAUUCAGGUGCCGAGGAACAAUUCCUGACUACCUGGAGGUGGGGGCAUCCUCUGGCAGUUGGUGUCUGGCACUUCUGGCAGGGAUUAACUGGUAGAAAGUUUAGGGCACCAUUUUUUUUUUUUGGGUGAGUUAGUGAAUUCUAAUCAUAACUUAGAACACUUUUUAAAGUCAUCCAUAAAUACUUCAUUGUCUUUAUUGUCAAGAGAUUAUUUUAAAAAUACAGAUUUUGGAAAUGAAUAUUGCCCAUGGAGCUCUUUGUUCUGACUAGGCUUGUUGCUUUUCCUUACUAAUAGAUAUUAGGAAAACAAAACUUGACUGGCUUCUUGCCUUUUGUUAGAAACAUGCUGAAAUGGUCUAAAUAAUGAUGCUACUAAAACAAUGUAUGCAUUGUUUUGAUGGGUAUUGAUUCCUUCUGUAGUGUUCAGAAUUGCUUGCAUGCCUCCCAGCAACAAAUGCAUAUGUGACUGUGUGAGAGGAGCAUUCCAGAAAAAUGGAAUGCUGCUUUACUUUUCAGUAGCUGUGCAACUUAAAGGGAAAAAGUCAUGUUUUUAGAAAUGCGGCCUUAAGGCACUAACCCACUUAUAUCCAGUGCAUGAAGCUCUGCAAGUUAUUUUAACACAACCUGAUCAGAGGGAACAAAAAUCUGGCAUUUAUAGUUUGUUUGUUUAUUGAUUGCCAUAAGUCAUUAGAAAGAAUAUCCUGUUCCUUUUAAUAAAAUCCUCUUGGACAGUUAAGUGUUAUAUUGUGGGGCAGAGCUGACCUGGGAGAAUGUAGGUAGAAAUGGCAAAUGGGGAUUUAUGAAAGAAUUGUAACCAAGUUAAGGUCCUUUUGCUAGUUGUGCUUCACCUGCUCUCCUGUGUGGCAGGAUGUAAUGUGUGUUGCUUCUUAGAACUUGCUGUCCAGUACACAGAAGUUUGGAUUCUGAAAUCAGGGAAUGUAGCCUCUCAAGCUUAGUUUUCAGAGAUGAAAUGCUGAAGAUGAUCUUAGUAGUAGGCUCAACUGUUCGUGUUAUUUACUAGUGAAAUGAAUAUUGAAAUUGUUUACUGUAACAGUUAAUUGUUACACUGUUAACAGUUAACUUACUGUUGCUGAAAGUUAAGCAAAUGUGUUGUGACUUAGGUGUUAGCUACAUUUUCAAAACAAAAUUUAGCUCUUUUCUUUUUAAAAACAUAAAUUAGUUUGUUAAUGGGGAAAGAGUAACAUUUGUUGAAAAAUUAAGUCACUUGCUUUUUUCCCUUUGUAGAUCUUCGUGUCAAGCCUGUAUUAACUCCUUGUAAUUCCAGUAGGACUAGCAAGUUAUUUUGCUUAAAAUGUCUUUUUUCCCCCCUGUGCAGUGAAAGUCGAAUGUGAGAACAGAUCUUAAUAGAUAUAGUUACACAGUUUAUUUUAUCAUGUAUCACUUUAUUGCUAUCUUCUAGAACAUUGUUAUACUAAAUGUUCCAAUAAUGGAAAUUUUAUGCAGCUACUUCAAAUGAAAGAAAUUUGCAAAAACUCAAUUUUGGAACUCAUUCCUUGAGGAGAGGGAAAAAACUCACCAUGCUGUGACCAAAUUAGAUUUCUGAUAUGUUGGCAACUUAUCAAACACUGUCAUUUCCAGAAAACAGGGUGUGGGUUCCCACUGAAAUAUCACUAUUUCCCAAUCAAUGUCAAUUUGAGAUAUUUUGAGUUUUAAUAUGAUUGAAUGGCCAAAUGUUUACAAAGUUGUUGUUGGUAACAGGUAAUUAAAAAUUGGUUUUGUACCUAAAUGAAAAUGGCUUUAUGUGGAAUCAGGAAUGACCAUGUUCAAUUACCAGGGAGUCGUCUUUUCAAGAGCUUGAUUUAAAAUUCUCAGAGAUAUUAGUUGUACUUACUGGAGCUCCUUUGUUUUGCAGAGAUCAUGAUGCAGCCGUCCUUUUGGAUUUCUUUUUAAUAAUGUGUGACCCUUCACCUUUGAUCCCCUGACCUGCAUUACCUUGGUAACCAUUUCAUUUUUUAAUUUAAUUUCAUUUUUAAUUUUGGUGUACAAGCUGUAACAUUUCAUCUCUCAAAGUGUAGCACGCUGAUUUCCUCAGAUAGAGAUACCCCUUUGAGCGAUAAAUUUGCAAAAUGCUG